GGGUCCUGAGAGGGAGAUCCCCCACACUGGUACUGAGACACGGACCAGACUCCUACGGGAGGCAGCAGUGAGGAAUAUUGGACAAUGGGCGCAAGCCUGAUCCAGCCAUGCCGCGUGCAGGAUGACGGUCCUAUGGAUUGUAAACUGCUUUUAUACGAGAAGAAACACUCCUUCGUGAAGGAGCUUGACGGUAUCGUAAGAAUAAGGAUCGGCUAACUCCGUGCCAGCAGCCGCGGUAAUACGGAGGAUCCAAGCGUUAUCCGGAAUCAUUGGGUUUAAAGGGUCCGUAGGCGGUUUAGUAAGUCAGUGGUGAAAGCCCAUCGCUCAACGGUGGAACGGCCAUUGAUACUGCUAGACUUGAAUUAUUAGGAAGUAACUAGAAUAUGUAGUGUAGCGGUGAAAUGCUUAGAGAUUACAUGGAAUACCAAUUGCGAAGGCAGGUUACUACUAAUAUAUUGACGCUGAUGGACGAAAGCGUGGGUAGCGAACAGGAUUAGAUACCCUGGUAGUCCACGCCGUACACGAUGGAUACUAGCUGUUGGGAGCAAUCUCAGUGGCUAAGCGAAAGUGAUAAGUAUCCCACCUGGGGAGUACGAACGCAAGUUUGAAACUCAAAGGAAUUGACGGGGGCCCGCACAAGCGGUGGAGCAUGUGGUUUAAUUCGAUGAUACGCGAGGAACCUUACCAAGGCUUAAAUGUAGAUUGACCGGUUUGGAAACAGACUUUUCGCAAGACAAUUUACAAGGUGCUGCAUGGUUGUCGUCAGCUCGUGCCGUGAGGUGUCAGGUUAAGUCCUAUAAC
rnacentral:rRNA from 1 species